GGAAAGAAGGGGUGCCUGGAUGGGUCAGUUGUUAAGUGUUUGCCUUCAGCUCAGGUCAUGAUCCCAGGACCCUGGGAUUGAGUCCCACACUGGGCUCUCUGUUCAGUGGGAAGCCUGCUUCUCCCUCUCCCUCUCCCCCUGCUUGUGUUCCCUCUCUCACUGUCUCUCUCUCUCUCUCUGUCAAAUAAAUAAAUAAAAUCUUUUUAAAAAAUAAAAAAAGGAAAGAGAUCUGAGGAAAAUAUGGCAAAAUAUUGAGAUUUAAUAGGACUGGUGGUGAUUACACACAGAUAUUCAUUAUAUCAUAAUUUACUGUAUGUUUGGGAUAGUUCUUUUAAAAUGAGGUGGACACAGCUCUCAGUCACUCUUUUCUACCACACUCACAUCUCAUUGGCCAGGAGCUGGGUAGGCAAGCCACUGAUGGGUCAUGGCAGGGAAGUAGCCACUGGACAAAACUCUAGAGUCAAAUGCACCAAAGGGUGGGCUUCAGAGAGACUGCUCAGGCCCAGUGAGGAGAAAUCAGAGCCCAAUCCAGUUAUUCUCCUGGUGACUCAGGGAUCUUAGAGUAAAUGGUAUGUGUAUGUGUGUGAGUGUGUCUGUGUGUGUGUGUGUCUGUGUCGGCAUGGGGUCAUAGGGAGAGGGACCAAAGAAGAGGGUCUAUUUAUGACACAUGUCUGUGGAAGCAGGAUGGAGUGAUGAUGCUCCAGUGAUAUGAAGGAGGCUCCACACAGAACUCUCGGGAGUGGGGACACCAGCAGAUGGAAUGUGACACAUUUUUCUUAUUUUCCAUGUUGGGAGAACUGGCUCUUUUAUCUGAAAACUAACAUUGUCCAAGUGUGUGGAAGAAAAGAAUGACUUAAGAUAUGGUCUUGUCUUCCUUCGUGGAGCUCACAGUACAUAGGAAGCGGGGUGGGAUGCAAUAAAAAUGAAGCAAUAAGACCAAACUUGGAACUCUUCUUUCUGAGGAACAGCAAAAACAAAAAGAAGUAAAUUGAGAAGGCAUCUGUAGAACCCCAAUAAUCUGCCCAAAUCAGAAGAGUUGAGAACUGGACAUGCAGGGGGCCACAGGCAAAUAAAGCAUUCCUUAAAAAUGAGGAGACCUAAGAGGAGAUUCAAUAAAGAGAGAGGCAAGACUUAUCCUAGGAUGGCCUGACUCCAGAACCCAUGAUCGUACCAGUGUGUAGUUUGUCUUUCUAAACGACUUCUGAAUUUUCCGCUUGAAAGCAUGUCUGAAGCUCAAAAUAGGUUGUACUUGAUUUCUCAUUUGUUAUUUUUCACCCAAGAGUUCAAAAUUGGACCUAAAGAAAUGAGCAUUGUUUACAUCUCUCCUGAAGAACUUUGGCUUCAAAAAUUGAUGUGUGCCAAAAUUCUGGGUUAUUAGUUUGUUAAGGCCUGACAGUCUUUAGAUCCUUUCCUUACCCAUGGAACACUUUUUGGAUAGUCGGACAUUUGGACACAUGUGGAGUACUUAGUACUGCAGCAUUGGGUUGAGAUGGCCUUGGGAUGAUGCUUAGCUUCAGAAAUUACUAGUUAUGUGACUUUGGUCAAUUAGACAA